ACCGGGUACAGGGUAGUUGUUCGAAAAAUGAUAAGAAUGUCGAGUACGAUAAUUCUGAAAUGUUGGCAUUACCAACAUAAUAUUUUUUUUUUUAAAUAGUAAAUAAUUUGACAUUUUAAAUAUGUGCUGCACUGAAUAAUUCGUUAGCUAUUAUUUAUUACAUAAUAAAAAUUAUUGAAUAAGCUAUUUUUAACUAAUAUUGUUCUGUGUUCAUAACUCUUUAAAUAGUCCUAUUAGCUAUUGCGUAAUUUGUUGACAAAAGACCUAAGUUAGGUCAUGGUAUAAUCCUUAUACUAUGAGUUAGGUUAGGUAAUUAAGAUUAUAGGUCUAUUGUCUUUGGCAUAGACAGAGAAAAUACUAAAAUUACUGUAUACUGUAUAUAAAAUUAGUAGGUAAUAGGUAUACUUAUCUGUGGAAAAUAGGUCUAUUAUAGUAAUAUAGUCUAAUGACUGCAGCUGUCUGCACUCUGCUUAUUUUUAAAUUAUUUGGUAUGGAGUUCUGGACACUGGAAUACUGGACGUCUGACUACACCCAACAUCCGUACGCUACUAGUACACUACUAUGUUCAAUGCUGAUGCACUGUACUUGGAAUUUGGAAUUUGAAAAUUUAAGAAGAAGGUCUGGCUCUCCUAAAAUACAUGAAAUAUAAAUAUUCAAAAAUUGAUGAAUCUCUGCGAUUAAAAUAAAUUGUGAAUUACCUGGAUAAGGACCAAUUUGCUGGGUUAUAUAUCCAUCUAUCCUAUGGCCUGCUCUACGUAGAAACGUUAUUAUACGGUCUUCCGAAUGGUCUUCAAUCAAAUCAUCAAUGAAAUCUCUAAUUGUCCUGGUAUUUCGGUCUCUCAUAACAACUAUGAAACUUGCCUUCAAAUUAUUUGAGGCUUGUUUAAAUUCCACUUCGCAAGUAUUUUCUAAAUACCUCAACUGGUCUAUAGAUGAAAAACAAUAUGUGACAGACUUUUGAUUAGUAACUGGUAUUAACUAGUUAAAUGAAAACUUACCAAUAAAUUCCCAUAUUUUUGGAUGAGGCCUUAUGAUUUUUAAGAGUACGGCAUGAAUGAAUCCAAAAAGGAAUAAUAUAUUCAUAAAUAAAUCGGUGGUACGCCAAAGCUACAUCUUCAUACUGCACUAUGAAUAGAAUUAUGGCAUUAACGCCAUCAACCACCGAAGGAACUCUGCCAAUUCUUACAGACGGAAGGUAAAAUAUUAAGAACCAUCCGGAAAACACGAGCAGCAACAGGGUUUAUUUUUACUAAAUUGUAAACACCGAUUGAUUUGUUUCUGGCAUACCGCAGAAUCGCCUAAAUAAAUUAGUAAUAAUUAUAUAUAUAUUUUAAUACUUCUUAUUAAACUCUUACCUGACAAUAAUGGAAAUAGCAGCCCUGGGGUAUCAUAUCUUUGAUACGUUCAAAUAAUGCAGUAUAUAUUCCUUCAUUCUUUCCAUUUAAAAGUGCAUAUACCAGAGGAUAGCUCUAUAAUACAAAAAGACAAGAAUUAAGACUUAGAACAGAAGAAAAAUAUUCAUACAAGUUUCAUAAUAGCUGAGUAUAGAAAAGAACAUACAACAUUUUUGUACACUAUUUGAAACGUAAAUAGUUGGUAGCAAUCAUUAUCUAUUGUCUUUGGGACAGUCUUGAAUGUACCAUCACAUCCGGCUACUGUGAUCUAUAACAUCAUAACACUACUAAUAAUACUUAAAAAUAAGAAAAAAAAUAAUCUUGACUUACGUUUUGUAACUCAACAGCUAUGUCCUGAAUAAAACUUGUGUUACAAAAAACCAAUCCAACUAACAUUCCAUUUACCAUCAAUGGCCCCUGAUAGAAUCUGUAAAUGGAAAUAAUCAUUUACAUUUUAAUUUUUUUACUGAAUAAUAUUAGCUUUUACAGAUUUGGUUGUGCCUGGAAUGUGAGGGCAAAGUGUCGGUUUUCAUUCAUUUCUAAAAGUUGAUGGAGGUGUAAAAGAUUCCUUGGAGUUGGGGGGAAUAUGGAUUUUCUUAUUUGGCGCAUUCUCUCUGUGGCUUGGAGUUGUUUUACUUUUAAAGUACAUAUAUCCUAAAUUGUCCUUGAUUAUAUGUUCUGUGCGGUGAACACUGGGAAUUGUGACAUAGGAGUGAGGACGUUCAUUGUCAUCUUCCAGAACAUCAACAUCCAUAGGUUCCAAUUGAUUUAUAUAUUCUUGAACUAUAUUUAAACCAUUGAAAAAAAAUAUAUAAAAUGGUAAAAUUUGAUGGGCAUUGUGAGAGAAAAAAACCUUUCUAUUAGAAAUUGUCUUCAGACAAAAAAAUACUUUGUACGUACCUGGU